rnacentral:rRNA from 1 species
UGGGGAAUUUUGCGCAAUGGGCGAAAGCCUGACGCAGCAACGCCGCGUGAGUGAUGAAGGCUUUCGGGUCGUAAAGCUCUGUCAAGGGGAAAGAAGUGUAUUAUGGUUAAUACCCAUGAUGCUUGACGGUACCCCUAAAGGAAGCACCGGCUAACUCCGUGCCAGCAGCCGCGGUAAUACGGGGGGUGCAAGCGUUGUUCGGAAUUAUUGGGCGUAAAGCGCGUGUAGGCGGUUUGGUACGUCUGAUGUGAAAGCCCCGGGCUCAACCUGGGAAGUGCAUGGGAAACUGGCAGACUUGAAUACGGGAGAGGGUAGUGGAAUUCCUGGUGUAGGAGUGAAAUCCGUAGAGAUCAGGAGGAACACCGGUGGCGAAGGCGGCUGCCUGGACCGAUAUUGACGCUGAGACGCGAAAGCGUGGGUAGCAAACA